GGGGCAUUAGCUCAGUUGGGAGAGCACCUGCUUUGCACGCAGGGGGUCAGCGGUUCGAGUCCGCUAUGCUCCA
rnacentral:tRNA from 2 species